GACGGGUGAGUAACACGUGGGCAACCUGCCUGUAAGACUGGGAUAACACCGAGGAAACCGGUGCUAAUACCGGAUAAUCCUUUUCCUCUCAUGGAGGAAAAGCUGAAAGUCGGUUUCGGCUGACACUUACAGAUGGGCCCGCGGCGCAUUAGCUAGUUGGUGAGGUAACGGCUCACCAAGGCUGACGAUGCGUAGCCGACCUGAGAGGGUGAUCGGCCACACUGGGACUGAGACACGGCCCAGACUCCUACGGGAGGCAGCAGUAGGGAAUCUUCCACAAUGGACGAAAGUCU
rnacentral:rRNA from 1 species